CGGCGAACGGGUGAGUAACGCGUGGAUAACCUGCCCUGAGGUGGGGGGAUAACCAAGGGAAACUUUGGCUAAUACCGCAUGAUACCGAGAGGUCAAAGGGGGCUCGCAAGGGCUCUCGCCAUAGGAGGGGUCCGCGUCCGAUUAGCUAGUUGGUAGGGUAAUGGCCUACCAAGGCGACGAUCGGUAGCCGGCCUGAGAGGGUGAUCGGCCACACUGGAACUGAGACACGGUCCAG
rnacentral:rRNA from 1 species